ACCAACAAUAAUGGGCAUUCACCCCUUCCUAACAUACCCAUAAGACAGGACGACUGUGAUCCCACCUGACCAGCUUCAAGGGGAUUAAUCAAAUGAUGUUUUUAGCAAGAACAUUUGGCGUCCACUAUGGGGCCCGGUAAAACUAACCCAUACCUCAAGCUCAAUCAUCUCUUCCAUCAAUCGGUGGCUAUUGGCGGCAGGAAGGAAGAAGGUGAGCAAGGAGGACCACAUGAUAAGUUGGGUAUUUCUGAGUUUUUCCAGAAAGGAGAUGACUCUUUGGUUUCCAUCAUUGGGCAUGUUACCCAGUACUACUUGGUCGCCUUUCACCUUAGGACUCUCCGAUUUCUUAUACCUUAAACCUUAACUACGAAGUCAUGAUAUUUCUCCAGCCUUCGGAGUCUUUUAGGCUUUGGUGUCAUUGGAGUAAACUCAGAAAAUUCCAUCGCUCAGAUGGCAAAGGGUUUGGGGUCGAAUC
rnacentral:lncRNA from 1 species